CCUAACCAAGGUGUGGCCAUACAAGCAUUGUGUAGGUCCUAACCAAGGGUGUGGCCAUACAAGCAUUGUGUAGGUUCUCCUAACCAAGGGUGUGGCUAUGACCACAACCAUUUAUCCACUUAAUUACCAGACAUUAUAUAGCUCCACAAUCAUAAAGUGUCAUGUAAAUGAUGAAGCAGUACCAUGGUAGUGUACUGCUCAGGUGAAAAUAAUUUAUACUUUGACAAAGCUUGUG